GAAAUCCUAAUGGACGUAGAGUGCUUUGCAUAAUGGCGGACUAGCCGGAUACAAAUUGCUUCAUACGUACAUCACUUUUCGGUAUACCGGAAGGGUACGGGAGGAGGAAAAUAAAAAUGUGACAUACGAAGAAUCGCAGACAAGCAUCGGGAGGAUGACUGACGGAUGAUUGGUCCAAACGAAGGCAAAUCGUCAGCGGAGUAUCAGCG